rnacentral:rRNA from 1 species
ACAUGCCUACAACAUAGUGUUAAUGCACUGGAUCCCAUUAGAAUUUUGCAGUUAAGCACGCUCAAGCUAGAGUAGUACUGGGAUGGGUGAUUGCUCGAGAAGUCUUAGUGUUUUGCAUGCC